rnacentral:rRNA from 1 species
GAGCGAAACCAGCUUGCUGGUCUAGCUAGUGGCGGACGGGUGAGUAACACGUGAGCAAUCUGCCUUUCGGAGAGGGAUACCAAUUGGAAACGAUUGUUAAUACCUCAUAACAUAACGAAGCCGCAUGACUUUGUUAUCAAAUGAAUUUCGCCGAAAGAUGAGCUCGCGUCUGAUUAGGUAGUUGGUGAGGUAACGGCCCACCAAGCCGACGAUCAGUAGCCGGACUGAGAGGUUGAACGGCCACAUUGGGACUGAGACGCGGCCCAGACUCCUACGGGAGGCAGCAGUGGGGAAUAUUGCACAAUGGGCGAAAGCCUGAUGCAGCGAUGCCGCGUGAGGGAAGAAGGUUUUAGGAUUGUAAACCUCUGUCUUCGGGGACGAUAAUGACGGUACCCGAGGAGGAAGCUCCGGCUAACUACGUGCCAGCAGCCGCGGUAAUACGUAGGGAGCGAGCGUUGUCCGGAAUUACUGGGUGUAAAGGGAGCGUAGGCGGGACUGCAAGUCAGGUGUGAAAUGUAGGGGCUUAACCCCUACCCUGCACUUGAAACUGUGGUUCUUGAGUGAAGUAGAGGUAAGCGGAAUUCCUAGUGUAGCGGUGAAAUGCGUAGAUAUUAGGAGGAACAUCAGUGGCGAAGGCGGCUUACUGGGCUUUAACUGACGCUGAGGCUCGAAAGCGUGGGGAGCAAACAGGAUUAGAUACCCUGGUAGUCCACGCCGUAAACGAUGAUUACUAGGUGUGGGGGGACUGACCCCUUCCGUGCCG